CACCGCUGGCAGACGUGCACUUUAAAAAUGGCUGCUCCCAUAACGGCGAAAAUUAUCGACUUUGAUGGCGACCAAAGCGAAGCACAAGCAAACCUGCAGUUCCAAGAUUUCUCGGACACGUUGCAAGGCAGCAGCGACCAGCGCAGUCAGCAAGCAGUGAAUCAGGCAUACACCAGCUUCUCGGACAUGAACGAUGACGAAGACGAGAGCGACGAGUUACAGCUGCUGAACCGAGAGAGAGACGCCAGUGCACCAUCGUUCUGGAAGUUCAGCUACUACCAGAGCCUCUUUGACGUGACGACCAAUGAUGUGCUCAGGCGGCUGCUGUGGUCAGCCAUGCCACAGUUUUCAAGCCCAUCCUACCUCGAGAAGCACAUCAGGCCUAACCCUGACCUCUAUGGGCCCAUAUGGGUAGGCCUGACAUUGGUGGUGACUACGUCAGUGAGCAGCAAUGUGGCCAGCUACUUGGAGACAGCUGGCCAGAGCAAGGACUUCUGGCACACUGACUACACUCGAGUGUCAUUUGCAUCGACGGCAAUCACGGUGUACAUGUUUUUGGUGCCACUGGUGCUGUGGGCGGUGCUCAAGUACCGCAAGGUGGAGUCUCGCUACUCCCUGUUGGAGACCCUCUGCCUAUAUGGCUACUCCCUGGCGAUCUAUGUGCCCAUCUCUAUCCUGUGGGCUGUGCACCUGACCUGGCUGCGGUGGACAUUGGUUGUCGUGGGUGCUUCGCUCUCUGGCUGUGUCCUGGUCACCACUUUGUGGCCUUCCUUCAGGGAAGACUCCCGCAAGAUGGCCAUCAUCACGUCUGCUGUUGUAUUUGCAUUACAUGCAUUACUGGCUCUUGGCUUUGUGAGUGCUCUGGCAGCAAUACAAAGUUUGUGUAUCAUGUAAAAGAGGAACUAAGUGUUGCUGCUAGCAUGAGUGGACUCCACUGAUCGCAAAGAACCAAAGUCAUCACUCCAGCGCCCAGAGGUACUUCUUUCAACAUGAGAUUGUACACAACGUGCCAGCAACACCACCACCUCCCCUGGUCGUCACAACUGCAGGUAGUCACUUC
rnacentral:misc_RNA from 1 species